UACGAGUGCCUCGAGCGUUAUCCGGAAUCAUUGGGCGUAAAGGGUGCGUAGGCGGCGAUGUUAGUCUCCCGUAAAAUCUCUGGGCUCAACCCAGAGUCCGCGGGAGAAACGGCAUUGCUAGAGGAUGGUAGGGGUCUCUGGAACUCAUGGUGUAGCGGUGAAAUGCGUUGAUAUCAUGGGGAACACCAAAAGCGAAGGCAAGAGACUGGACCACUCCUGACGCUGAAGCACGAAAGCGUGGGUCGCGAAUGGG
rnacentral:rRNA from 1 species